rnacentral:snRNA from 14 species
GUGCUUACUUCAGCAGCACAUGUGUUAAAACUAGAGUGACACGGAGAUCAGGAUGGCCCUUAUGUAGAAAUGAUAUGAAAGUUUGUGAGGCAGUUCAUAUUUUU